UAGGGAAUCUUCCACAAUGGACGAAAGUCUGAUGGAGCAACGCCGCGUGAGUGAAGAAGGGUUUCGGCUCGUAAAACUCUGUUGUUAAAGAAGAACAUAUCUGAGAGUAACUGUUCAGGUAUUGACGGUAUUUAACCAGAAAGCCACGGAUAACUACGUGCCAC
rnacentral:rRNA from 1 species